GGUAUUGGAUAUCUCCAUUUACAUAACUGAUAAGGAUAGAAUC
rnacentral:sRNA from 1 species